AGUGAACGCUGGCGGUAGGCCUAACACAUGCAAGUCGAACGGCAGCACAGGAGAGCUUGCUCUCUAGGUGGCGAGUGGCGGACGGGUGAGGAAUACAUCGGAAUCUGCCCAGUCGUGGGGGAUAACGUAGGGAAACUUACGCUAAUACCGCAUACGACCUUCGGGUGAAAGAGGGGGAUCGCAAGACCUCUCGCGAUUGGAUGAGCCGAUGUCGGAUUAGCUAGUUAGCGGGGUAAUGGCCCACCAAGGCGACGAUCCGUAGCUGGUCUGAGAGGAUGAUCAGCCACACUGGAACUGAGACACGGUCCAGACUCCUACGGGAGGCAGCAGUGGGGAAUAUUGGACAAUGGGCGCAAGCCUGAUCCAGCCAUACCGCGUGGGUGAAGAAGGCCUUCGGGUUGUAAAGCCCUUUUGUUGGGAAAGAAAUCUUUCAGGCUAAUACCCUGGGAGGAUGACGGUACCCAAAGAAUAAGCACCGGCUAACUUCGU
rnacentral:rRNA from 1 species